UACGUAGGGGGCUAGCGUUGUCCGGAUUUAUUGGGCGUAAAGAGCGUGUAGGCGGCCAGGUAGGUCUGGUGUGAAAACUCGAGGCUUAACCUCGAGAUGUCAUCGGAAACCAUCUGGCUAGAGUUCGGAAGAGGAGAGUGGAAUUCCUGGUGUAGCGGUGAAAUGCGCAGAUAUCAGGAAGAACACCAAUGGCGAAAGCAGCUCUCUGGGACGGUACUGACGCUGAGACGCGAAAGCGUGGGGAGCGAACAGG
rnacentral:rRNA from 1 species